GAGUAAUGCAUCGGAACGUGCCAUUGAGUGGGGGAUAACGUAGCGAAAGUUACGCUAAUACCGCAUAUUCUGUGAGCAGGAAAGCAGGGGACCGCAAGGCCUUGCGCUCUUUGAGCGGCCGAUGUCAGAUUAGCUAGUUGGUGAGGUAAAGGCUUACCAAGGCGACGAUCUGUAGCGGGUCUGAGAGGAUGAUCCGCCACACUGGAACUGAGACACGGUCCAGACUCCUACGGGAGGCAGCAGUGGGGAAUUUUGGACAAUGGGCGCAAGCCUGAUCCAGCCAUGCCGCGUGAGUGAAGAAGGCCUUCGGGUUGUAAAGCUCUUUCGGCCGGGAAGAAAUCGCAUGGGUUAAUACCCUGUGUGGAUGACGGUACCGGAAUAAGAAGCACCGGCUAACUACGUG
rnacentral:rRNA from 1 species